rnacentral:lncRNA from 1 species
CCCGACCCCGACGGGAACAUCUCCGCCGCGACUCCCGGCCGUUCUCGACGAGCCGCAGCUGGUGCACCCACCAGCCGGUCCACCGUUUUUUGGAGUCUUUCCAUUCGCUCUUCCUGGCGCACAGCAGCCUCCUGCUGCCUCUGCACCACAUCAGCUUGUUGCCUCAUCACUCCAAUGAGUGUGGCCAACUGAUCACGAAGCUCUGCGCCUUCGCUCGCGUCGACUUGCUCGGGAACACCACUUGUCCCCUCCCGCGCCGAUCUGGACGAAGAUCGCCUACGCGGUGCCAUCGUUUCCUGAAACACGACAACUCGAUUAGUUCUCGACCAACUUGGGUCGAACACGAGACCACUAACACCGGCUCAAAAGCCAAUCAGGCGAAAGUCACGCAAGGGUGUUUAUUCACAUCACUCGGUUUCAUGUUGUCGUACGCCCAACAUGAACAUCCUUGGCUGAGAAUAAACAACACCUCGAGUCUACCUCUAAU